GAAAGCUUAGCUUAGUGGUUAAAGGGAUGGUCUGAUGCUUCGGAGCGUUUGGGUUCGAAUCCCAUUACCUUUUU
rnacentral:tRNA from 1 species